ACUCAAAGGAAUAGACGGGGACCCGCACAAGCAGUGGAGCAUGUGGUUUAAUUCGAUGCUACGCGAAAAACCUUACCACCUCUUGACAUCUGGAUGACCGGUACAGAGAUGUACUUUUGGAGCAAUCCACAUCCAAGACAGGUGUUGCAUGGCUGUCGUCAGCUCGUGUCGUGAGAUGUUAGGUUAAGUCCUUCAACGAGCGCAACCCUCAUCCUUAUUUGCCAUCGGGUUAUGCCGGGAACUAUAAGGAAACUGCCUACGACAAGUAGGAGGAAGGUGGGGACGAUGUCAAGUCAUCAUGGCCCUUAUGGGGUGGGCUACACACAUGCUACAAUGGUGGUUACAGCAGGAAGCGAAAGAGCAAUCUGGAGCAAAUCCUUAAAAGCCAUCUCAGUUCAGAUUGAGGGCUGCAACUCGCCCUCAUGAAGUUGGAAUUGCUAGUAAUCGUAGAUCAGCACGCUACGGUGAAUACGUUCUCGGGUCUUGUACACACCGCCCGU
rnacentral:rRNA from 1 species